AACGAACGCUGGCGGCGCGCUUAACACAUGCAAGUCGAACGAGAAGGCGUAGCAAUACGCUUGUACAGUGGCGAACGGGUGAGGAAUACAUGGGUAACCUACCCUCGAGUGGGGGAUAACCCGCCGAAAGGCGGGCUAAUACCGCGUACGCUUCCGAUCUUGCGGGAUUGGAAGGAAAGCUGUCCCUUGGGGAUGGCGCUCAAGGAUGGGCUCAUGUCCUAUCAGCUUGUUGGAGGGUAACGGCCUACCAAGGCAUCGACGGGUAGCUGGUCUGAGAGGACGAUCAGCCACACUGGCACUGCGACACGGGCCAGACUCCUACGGGAGGCAGCAGUGAGGAAUAUUGCGCAAUGGGCGAAAGCCUGACGCAGCGACGCCGCGUGGGGGAUGAAGGUCUUCGGAUUGUAAACCCCUUUCGGGAGGGAAGACGGCCUUAGACAACUAAGGCGGACGGUACCUCCAGAAGCAGCCACGGCUAACUUCGUGCCAGCAGCCGCAGUAAC
rnacentral:rRNA from 1 species